AACAGGAUUAGAUACCCUGGUAGUCCACGCCGUAAACGAUGUCGACUUGGAGGUUGUGCCCUUGAGGCGUGGCUUCCGGAGCUAACGCGUUAAGUCGACCGCCUGGGGAGUACGGCCGCAAGGCUAAAACUCAAAUGAAUUGACGGGGGCCCGCACAAGCGGUGGAGCAUGUGGUUUAAUUCGAUGCAACGCGAAGAACCUUACCUACUCUUGACAUCCAGAGAACUUAGCAGAGAUGCUUUGGUGCCUUCGGGAACUCUGAGACAGGCGCUGCAUGGCCGUCGUCAGCUCGUGUUGUGAAAUGUUGGGUUAAGUCCCGCAACGAGCGCAACCCUUAUCCUUUGUUGCCAGCGGCUCGGCCGGGAACUCAAAGGAGACUGCCAGUGAUAAACUGGAGGAAGGUGGGGAUGACGUCAAGUCAUCAUGGCCCUUACGAGUAGGGCUACACACGUGCUACAAUGGCAUAUACAAAGAGAAGCGACCUCGCGAGAGCAAGCGGACCUCAUAAAGUAUGUCGUAGUCCGGAUUGGAGUCUGCAACUCGACUCCAUGAAGUCGGAAUCGCUAGUAAUCGUGGAUCAGAGUGCCACGGUGAAUACGUUCCCGGGCCUUGUACACACCGCCCGUCACACCAUGGGAGUGGGUUGCAAAAGAAGUAGGUAGCUUAACCUUCGGGAGGGCGCUUACCACUUUGUGAUUCAUGACUGGGGUGAAGUCGUAACAAGGUAACC
rnacentral:rRNA from 1 species